AUCGCUUCUCGGCCUUUUGGCUAAGAUCAAGUGUAGUAUCUGUUCUUAUCAGUUUAAUAUAUGUAAUUAUAUGUAUUAAAUCUCUGUGAAGGUUAGGGUGUCUAAGCUGUUGUAUUGAAAGUCUUCAGGGCUCUGAGUAACCCAGGUCAAAAUUUUUGAAACAACAAUUAAUACCUGUUUUUCAC